rnacentral:lncRNA from 1 species
UGCAAUAAAAUUCACAUUUAAAGAAAAUAGAUUAUGAAAUUAUGAAGAUGUUGAGGUUAGAACAUUGCAUAUAUAUAAUUGGUGUACACACAUACACACACACAUAUAUGUAACCAAAUAUAUGUUAUGUUAUGAAAAUGUAUGCUGUGAAAAAUAAGGUCAUUAGCAUUUCUCACAUGCACCCCACAAUUUCCUAAUUUUGCUAAUCAUACUGUUAACCGAGGUUCAGAGAGAUGGAGGAGCUUCUUGAGGUCAAACACAGCUAGUAAAUGCAGAGCAGGGAUUGAAGCACAGGCCUGUCAGGUUUUGCACAGGACUAUUCCCAGGAAUAACUAGAUCAGGGUAGUCCUGGUGAUGGAGCCCAGGAGAACUGGCCAUUGGUGGGUGAGCUAAUGCUCAGAGUAAUUAAGACAAUGACCCCUGAACAACCUGAUAUAAUCUGCCAUCUUUCUUUUGAACAGUCCUGUGGAAUAAAACCCUGUCUAUAAUUCUUCAUGCUUGUGUUUUGGUUUGCCACAUUCUUAAGGCCCCUAAUGUGCGUAUCAGGAAUGGGCACUCGAUUUUGUAAGCAGAAUGAAGUUCUCCACUUUUCUCCACAAAGUAAGUAACUUUCUCUGGUGUCAGAAAAGGUAAGAAAUAAGAAUUUGCUGGGAACUCCAUCAGUCUUAGUUCACCUUCUAGCAUUUUUAAAAAUUGCAUUUUGAAAAAUAUAGCAUGAUUCCUAAACAUAAACCAAAUUUCACCUGACACUGAACACUUCCCCCAGAACAUGACUAUGCUAAAAGAGCUGGCAGGGUCGGGCUUGGUGAUAGCUUACCUAUUGUUCCCCAACAUGGUAUCCUCCUAGGCAUCCUGAAGGGCCAUGAUGGCUCUGUGCUCAGCUCCUCAGGAGCUUACUUUCGAAACAAAUCCUCCACACCAACAAGAAUGCUCAGUGACUUUGAACUAGAGACUCCAGAGGGCUCAAGCACUCUGGCUCUUGGUAGUGUCCAUCUCCACUGCCUUGGGACUCGGUAGCAAAAGCCUGGAGUGAAAUUGGGAGUGGAAGGGGUUUGGCCUCCUGGUUGACCUCACUGAUAUGAGCUGCUCUCCCUGAGCCUCAGGGCCUUUGGGUCCUCCUCCCCUCUCUCUGUGUACCUUGCCUUCCAGGAAAGGCCAGUGGCUUCUCCCUUUUCUUCCAGUUGCCUCUUCUUCCAUGUUGCUGGGAGGGGAGGUGAAGGGCACGGCAUCUGGUGCUUUGGCUGCCUUUUUGAAGCCUGUGGUGGGGGCUGAGUGUGUUUGACCCUGACUCAUCC